UACGGAGGAUCCGAGCGUUAUCCGGAUUUAUUGGGUUUAAAGGGAGCGUAGGUGGAUUGUUAAGUCAGUUGUGAAAGUCUGUGGCUCAACCAUAGAAUUGCCGUUGAAACUGGGGGGCUUGAGUAUGUUUGAGGCAGGCGGAAUGCGUGGUGUAGCGGUGAAAUGCAUAGAUAUCACGCAGAACCCCGAUUGCGAAGGCAGCAUACCGGCGCCCUACUGACGCUGAGGCACGAAAGUGCGGGUAUCGAACAGG
rnacentral:rRNA from 1 species